GACGAACGCUGGCGGCGUGCUUAACACAUGCAAGUCGAACGAAGUGGCGAACGGGUGAGUAAUACGUGGGUAACCUGCCCUCCUUUACGGGAUAAGCCUUGGAAACGGGGCCUAAUACCGAAUAAAGGGGGAUGGACUCGCGGCCUAUCAGCUUGUUGGUGGGGUGAUGGCCUACCAAGGCGGUGAUGGGUAGCCGGCCUGAGAGGGUGACCGAAGACAUUGGGACUGGGAUACAGCCCAGACUCCUGCGGGAGGCGGCAGUGGGGGAUAUUGCACAAUGGGCGAAAGCGUGAUGCAGCGACACCGCAUGGGGGAUGAAGGCUUUCGAGUUGUAGACCUAUUUCGCUAUCGAAAGGGUAGGUGGAGAAGAAGCGCCGGCUAACUACGUGCCAGCAGCCGCAGUAAUAC
rnacentral:rRNA from 1 species